UACUCGGGAGGCUGAGGCAGGAGAAUCACUUGAACCUGGGAGGCGGAGAUUGCAAUGAGUCAAGGUUGCACCACCACACUCCAGCCUGGGCAACAGAAACCCUAUCUAAAAAAAAAAAAAAAAAAAAAAAAAAAGCAAACAGCUGGGCACAGUGGCUCAAGCCUGUAAUCCCAGUACUUUGGGAGGCCAAGGCAGGAGGGUCUCCUGAGGUCGGGAGUUCGAGACCAGCCUGACCAACACUGAGAAACCCUGUCUCUACUAAAAAUACAAAAUGAGCCCGGUGUGGUGGCACAUGCCUGUAAUCCUAGCUACUCGGGAGGCUGAGGCAGGAGAAUCACUUGAACCUGGGAGACAGAGGUUGCAGUGAGCCAAGAUUGCACCACUGUGCUCCAGCCUGGGCGACACAGAGAAACUCUUAUCUUAAAAAAAAUAAUAAAUAAACAAACAACAACAACAACAAAGAAAAGAUGGGAGAUGAAGGGAAGCAGGUGCAAAGGGCUGGAUUUGAAAUCCUGAGAUGAUAAAGGUCAACACCCAAAGGCUCAAAACCCUUCUCCAAACCCUCAUCUGAGCUCACCCAGCACCUGUGACGGGGGCCCACCUGCAUAGAAAGACACUCAAUUGGAUGUUCAUCACUGCAUUGCGUAUAACACUGUGAAGCAGGCUACGUGUCCAUCAGUAGGAGAGCAGAUAAUAAAAUGGGGUCUAUGCAUAGGCUGAUACCAGCCCAUAUAUCCACCCAGAAGAUAUAGGUGAGUGGGUUAGGGCAAGGGCUCUGAAACCAGAAGGAUCUACCACUUCCUAGCUGAAGAACCUUGCACUGGUGACCUCACUCCCUCGUGCCUCCGUUAGCUCAUCUGUAGUUAGGGGACAAUCAUAGUAUCAACAUCGCAGGGGUUAAGAUGAUCUGGGUUAAGCACUGAGCAUGUGGAAAUGACUCAGUAGAUGAGGUGUCAGCAAACUUUUCCUGUGGAUAAGACCAAUGGAGACCUCUAAAAUCACUUUCCUUGUCACCUCUCACUGACCAAGACAGUAAAUCAAUGCAAGGUUGGGCCAGGCACGGUGGCUCAUGCCUGUAAUCCCAGCACCUUGGGAGGCCAAGGCAGGUGGAUCACCUGAGGCCAGGAGCUCGAGACCAGCCUGGCCAACAUGGUGAAACCCCGACUCUACUAAAAAUACAAAAAUUAGCCGGGCGUGGCGGCACGUGCCUGUGGACCCAGCUACU
rnacentral:lncRNA from 1 species